ACUGAACAGCACCCACAUGGAGAUCCCGGGAUAUAGCAAAAUGGCGUACACACCGACACCCCUAGUGAUUCGAACACAAAACUGCAGGGGCCUCAACACCCCGGAUAAAAGAUCACACCUCCUUCGCAACCUCAAGCAGCAACAUGUAUCAGUCGCCCUCCUACAGGAAACACACCUCAGACCAGAAACUAACAAGUUGCUACAGGACAAAAGCUACCAAAUAAA